UACUAGAGUAGCACUCGCAUAUCAAUAAGCGGAGGAAAAGAAACUAACAAGGAUUCCCCUAGUAACGGCGAGUGAAGCGGGAAGAGCUCAAAUUUGAAAUCUUAAAGGGUUUCCCUUUACGAAUUGUAGUUUAAAGAAGCGUUUUCUGUUGAGGUUUUGGUAAAAGUUCUUUGGAAUAGGACAUCAUAGAGGGUGAGAAUCCCGUAUUUGACCUUUACUUUCAACUUUGUGAUACACUUCCAAAGAGUCGGAUUGUUUGGGAAUGCAGUCCAAAAUGGGUGGUAAAUUUCAUCUAAAGCUAAAUAUUGGCGAGAGACCGAUAGCGAACAAGUACCGUGAGGGAAAGAUGAAAAGAACUUUGAAAAGAGAGUUAAACAGUACGUGAAAUUGUCAAAAGGGAAGCGUUUGACACCAGUGUUGUUUUUCUGAAAAUCAAUUAAAGAACUGUUUAUGCUAAGCUUGUUUAGACUUUAUCAGCUAUCUGUUUAGUUUUGAGCUUUUCUUUAAUGCACUUUUCAGGUUAACAAGUCAACAUCAAUUUCUUUUGCUGUAAAAAAGCUUGAGGAAGGUGGCUUGAGAUUCGUCUUAAGUGUUUAUAGCCUCUUGCCUAUGCAGUCGGAGAGAUUGAGGUCUGCAGCGUAGAUCCUUCGGGGCUAAAUGCAUUUGUGCUAAGUUAUAGCAUUUUAUAGACAACUUGUUGACUAUGAUUUGUCUUGUAGCUUACUCGCUUAUGUUAUUUUACCUACGCUUAGGAUGUUGAGCGCAUGUCUCUCUCU
rnacentral:rRNA from 1 species